rnacentral:lncRNA from 1 species
GCGUUGAUUUCCCAGAGGCUCCAGGGAAUGGAAUGUAAGGAAUACAAUGAAAAAUAAAAUGUAACAUGGACAGCAGAGCCAGCAAACAAAAGGAGGGAGCUGAUCGACUUGAGCUCCCUGUGUGAUCUUGAAGGAAUAGACUGGCUUGCCGAGAAGAUUUCAGGAACCUCUGCCACAGUCCAGGCUCCAACUUAAACCUGUGAAGAUUAUUCUCCUUUUCUUAGGUAAGAAUUCUCAAUUGUAGAAUCU